CUCCGGAACAUCUGAGGACGUUUUACAUUGGCACCCCAGUAAACACCUGUGCUGCUGAGCAGCAAAGGACACUCACGCUCCUGCUGCAGUCUGUGCUGCACUCUGUGGCGAGUUUACACAUUGUCUACACCGUGACUCAGUGCAGAGCCCCACUGCAAACAGAGGACCCACGCGGACGCUCGCUGCAGGGCUUCGCGCCCUCCUGCACCACGGGCAGCCCGGGCUGCUCCCCAGUGCAGGGCUCGGGUACUUCUCAUCAUUAGCAAACUACUCACUGAAGUUUGCAAAUACAGUUUUAGUCUCUGUCAACCUCAUCUCCCUUCACCCGGCAGAAGUCCAUUUCCAGCACAGACUGCUCAGCGCCAAAGCAUUUGCCAGCACAUGGGUAGGAGGCCUCUUGUGUGCACAUUGUCCAGGAAGAGUUUUCACUCCACCUUUGAGCCAUUGCCACAAAGGGCUGGGAGGGAUGGCAGAGUUCAUGCUCGGGAGGCAGCAGGGCUUACGCCGCAGUGAUGGUACAUCAGGGUCAGUCUAACUUGUGGGACUUCUCACCUGCAUCCCAAAGCAAGUGAAUGCAAAGCUCAGCUAAAAUGCCUCUCGGAACGCAAGGAGCACCAUCUGAGCAGGAAACACUGGCUAAACACUGAGGGCUCAGACUUGACUGAGAAGGAAAUUGAGUGAAUGGGAAACAUACAUCCAGGAGACAACAAUGUGGGAAUACCUUUGGUUUCGGAAAGCUGCUCACCUUUGGGUGCUGCUCCCUGUGGUUUAGGGCCCUGCAGUCCCCGCAGCCCGAGCAGGGGCAGCUGUGUGCGUCAGAGAGAAGGCUACAUCCAGCGUGCUGGGCCAUUCCCAGAGCAAAGCCAAGGGGGCCUAAACCUGAGGGAACCAAGUCCGUGGAAGGCUGAUGCUGAGCUGAAUGCUGCUGGUGAAAUGCUCGGUCACGUGUUCUUUUCAGGAAUGUGAUUCACAGAGAGACC
rnacentral:lncRNA from 1 species